UUUUUCUCAUUUUCUCUCUUGCCAAACACCAUUUUUCUUAUUCAAAACAUAUGGUUGGCUCAUUUCAUCUACAAGAAUCUCCAUUACCAUGAUUAUAAUCAUGAUUUUGUGCAAUUUUUGUAAACCCACACCACACUUUCAACUUAAAAUCUUUGCUUUUUUUCCCACUGUCGGCUGCCAUUUUUCCCUCUCAUUUUCUCUCUUGUCAAACACCAUUUUUCUUCUUCAAAACACAAAAUUCUUGAACAUGUUCUGUUGUUCAUUGAUCUUCAUCUUCAAAAUUUUCAUUCUUGAACAUGAAGAUUGAUUAAACUUGAUGAUUGCUUAAGCUCAUCAAAUUAACACCCUGUUUCGAGAAAUACAAGGAAAGGGGAUUAUUGGAUUAGCAAGCAUUAAAUAUUAAUGUUGUACUACUAUGUUUCAUGAUUUUAGUCUUUAGAUUCUCUUCAUGUGUGUAAUAAUAUUCAACAGGCGAAAGUCUUAUGCGAGAUUGUGGUACAUAGAACCACCCAGACUAUGUCCGCCAAAACUGCUACCCUCAGAAAUGAAGUUGGAAGCGAUAGGUAUGAGGAAUGAAGAGGAAUUGAUUGGAUUGCUUGCGGUGCAGAAAAAGCUGAAAGAUUAACCAGUGUUCCACAGCCAUCAUUGUAAAUAGAUAUCGAAACAAGUUUCUUAAAAUCGUGCAGCAUAUUAUUUCAUGAUAUUGUAAUUAUAGUAUACCCUGUUUCCAUUAUGCUGGACGAAUUGGUUAAUCUAUAUAAAAAAAAUGAUUUGGAUUUUCUCAUCA